ACUCCUGACUGACCGAUAGUGAACCAGUACCGUGAGGGAAAGGCGAAAAGAACCCCGGCGAGGGGAGUGAAAUAGAACCUGAAACCGUGUACGUACAAGCAGUGGGAGCACCUUCGUGGUGUGACUGCGUACCUUUUGUAUAAUGGGUCAGCGACUUAUAUUUUGUAGCAAGGUUAACCGUAUAGGGGAGCCGUAGGGAAACCGAGUCUUAACUGGGCGAAUAGUUGCAAGGUAUAGACCCGAAACCCGGUGAUCUAGCCAUGGGCAGGUUGAAGGUUGGGUAACACUAACUGGAGGACCGAACCGACUAAUGUUGAAAAAUUAGCGGAUGACUUGUGGCUGGGGGUGAAAGGCCAAUCAAACCGGGAGAUAGCUGGUUCUCCCCGAAAGCUAUUUAGGUAGCGCCUCGUGAACUCAUCUUCGGGGGUAGAGCACUGUUUCGGCUAGGGGGCCAUCCCGGCUUACCAAACCGAUGCAAACUCCGAAUACCGAAGAAUGUUAUCACGGGAGACACACGGCGGGUGCUAACGUCCGUCGUGAAGAGGGAAACAACCCAGACCGCCAGCUAAGGUCCCAAAGUCAUGGUUAAGUGGGAAACGAUGUGGGAAGGCAUAGACAGCCAGGAUGUUGGCUUAGAAGCAGCCAUCAUUUAAAGAAAGCGUAAUAGCUCACUGGUCGAGUCGGCCUGCGCGGAAGAUGUAACGGGGCUAAACCAUGCACCGAAGCUGCGGCAGCGACGCUUAGGCGUUGUUGGGUAGGGGAGCGUUCUGUAAGCCGUUGAAGGUGGCCUGUGAGGGUUGCUGGAGGUAUCAGAAGUGCGAAUGCUGACAUAAGUAACGAUAAAGCGGGUGAAAAGCCCGCUCGCCGGAAGACCAAGGGUUCCUGUCCAACGUUAAUCGGGGCAGGGUGAGUCGACCCCUAAGGCGAGGCUGAAAAGCGUAGUCGAUGGGAAACAGGUUAAUAUUCCUGUACUUGGUGUUACUGCGAAGGGGGGACGGAGAAGGCUAGGCUAGCCGGGCGACGGUUGUCCCGGUUUAAGCGUGUAGGGGGUGUGACCUGGUAAAUCCGGUU
rnacentral:rRNA from 1 species